rnacentral:rRNA from 1 species
GACGAACGCUGGCGGCGUGCUUAACCCAUGCAAGUCGAACGAAGUGGCGAACGGGUGGGUAACGCGUAAUCAACCUGCCCUUCAGAGGGGGACAACAGCUGGAAAAGACUGCUAAUACCGCAUACUGAAGGAGGUGAUUGCGUCUGAUUCGCUAGUUGGAGGGGUAACGGCCGACCAAGGAGAUGAUCAGUAGCCGGUCUGAGAGGAUGAACGGCCACAUUGGGACUGAGACACGGCCCAGACGCCUACGGGAGGCAGCAGUGGGGAAUCGUCCGCAAUGGACGAAAGUCUGACGGAGCAACGCCGCGUGAGGGAUGACGGCCUUCGGGUUGUAAAGCUCUGUUAAUCGGGACGCGGUACCGGAAUAGAAAGCCACGGCUAACUACGUGCCAGCAGCCGCGGUAAUAC